UUCGGCGUGUCAGCUGUUCCUAUGGUUACAUGCGGGGGCGGGGUUUCUGGCUGCGUGGGUUCUGUUGUUAAGAGUCACCGGGUUCGCACUAGAACAUGAAAUUGUGGCUGCAGCAGGAUGGUAUUUAUCAUUACAUUUGCAACGAUCGAGAGAAAGGAAAUACAUAUCCCGGAAAAUGGAACUCAGUAUUGUUUCCUUUUGAAACUUGGGGGCGGGUCACAUCCGAACUUUAAUGGACAACAGGAAUUUACCAACCUCCAAGUCCCGAGCCCCACCUCUCCUGGGUUUCAGAAUUCCUAGCAUAGUGUCCUGUAUGUGCCUUAUUUACACUGAGGUGCUGCUCUCUGUGUUAAUCAUACUCUGGAUCACCCUGUGCAUCUGUAUGCCUAAAUAUGCCAUCCACUGUCUUCCAAAAAUGAUCUGUGGCAGCUGAGAAGGAAACAACUGAAAUAAGCAUUUUUACUUGGAGGAAAGUUUGAAAGGAGAAGGAUCAUGGGGAAGGAGCAACUAAGUAACCAAUGCAACCCCCAUAGCCAAAAUACAGAACACCUUCUUGCAAGUAUAUGUUGCCUGACAAAGAAUUCUAAUUGAAUUAUGGAAAAAAAAUUUUCAUGAAACUUGUGGAGGCUAUAAUGGCUUUAAAAAGUCAUUUUAUGAACUGAGGUCCAAAGAAUGAAGACAUUCUAUUCCAAUGGAUAGACUCAAGGACAAGAGCCAAUGAGCAUGGUCUUACUGAGCUAAGUUGCUGAGGCUGGCCUUGAACUUGCAAUCUUCAUACCUCAGUCGUCCAAGCCACUGGAAUUACAGGCAUGCACCAUCACACCUGGCUUAUCAGUGUGUUUUAAAAUUAUUUUAUACUGAUAUAUUCUCUAUUCCUGAACCAAAACAACAUUUGUGUUUAUUUCAGCUUUUUCUAUAGUAUAUUCUGAUAACUAGGAGGGCAAAUGUUACCGAAUCUCUGAUCUUUAAACAUUUUAUUUCUUCCAGACAAAUUUUAGGACUAUCUUGUCAGGUUUUAAUCAAAAAUUUUGUUGUUUGAUUGAAAUAGCAUUAGAAAAUCACUUAAUUUAUCUAUUACAUUGUGAAGAAUGAAUAUUUUUAAAUAUUGAAUUUUUUCCAUCCAGGCACUUAUAUAUAUAUUCUUCAAUAGAAUUUUUAUCUCUUUCUUAAUGUAAGUCACACAUUUCUGAUAAAGUUUAUUUUAUAACUUUCCCCCAUUAUUUUGAGUUGAAUGGGAAUUUUUUCAUAGACAUUUUUGAAUUGAUUAUUGCUAUGCAGAGGAGAAACAUUGCCUUUUGCAUCUGAAUCCUGUCCUUGGCCCUUGGUGGACUCCAUAUAUUAGAAUACAGGGCUUGGAUAUAAAGCUUCCUAAGGUUUUCUUUGUGGGUCAAGUAGAUCAUAGGCUCAUGGGGAAAAUAAGAUAUCAAAGUGUUAAAAUGACACAUUCACCCACAGCUUGUAAUUAUAAUAUCCCUGUGUCUUUGAACCCUUGGGCUAGACAGAGAAGCCUGUGUUACAUAUACGAUCAUGGAAUGGUUGGCCUUUUGCAUCAGCUACAGGGCUGCACAUCACUGUUGAGUGGAGUUUAUUGUGUGAAGUUCAUCGUUAGGUGGAGAGAAGGUCUCCGCUGCAGAUGAAGGGCACAGAGUCAGUGAAAAGAACAGGAGUUUCAGUUCCUAGGUUUAAACCUUACUUCCAACACUUGCUGUGUGAGUCUGAGGAAGAGAUUUUCACUAGGACUCAGAUGCUAAUGCUUUUCUCAUUGUGUGUCUAUCAUGUUAAAUGGAAUAUGGCAUGGAGGAUGUCUCUGAUACAGUAAGUGUCCAUUACAUGGAGGCCUUUGCUGUUGUUGGGAAGAGGAUGUUGGUGGAGGUGGACUUUGUGUCUGACAGGCUGGUUUUGAAGUUCUAGCUCUGCCAUUUCCUAAUGCUAUUUGGACUCUUCAAGCUACUUGUACUCUUCAAGCCUCAAUUUCCUCAAGGUUGGACUGAAGAUAAUUUAAGGAUUAAGUGAGAAUGUGAACAUGCAUGCUUCACAAAUUAUGAUAUUUCAUGUAACUGGCUGGUGGUCAUGUUAUUUCUGGAAAUCUCCCUUCUUUCUGUAGACAAAAAAAUAUAUGUUCUCAUUGAGAUAUAAAGAAGAUGUGUCUCUCAUUAAAACCACAUUUUUAAAUCAAAAUAUAUAAAGUGAGCUUCAGGUAUCAUUUAUGUUUCAUAAAAAAACAUUUCAUGGGCUAGGGAUAUAGCUCAGUUGGAAGAGUGCCUGCCUGGCAUGCACAAGGCCCUGGGUUCAAUCCCCAGCACCACAAAAAACAAACAAAAAACAAAAAACAUUUCAGGAUUUUAGUUACUUGAUUUGUAUGUGUUUUAAAGAUGUUCUCAUACUAUUUUCCAGGUAAUUAUCCAGGCCAUUCUUUCAAAACCAAGUUUUGUCAUGAAACUGAGUACCAUAGAAUUCUGCUUUUCUGAGACAUGAUGAGACUUCUUGCUUCAAGCAAUGGUAUCAUAGAUUACUUAGGAAAAGUGAGAGCAUUGCCGUAAUGUUGGGUCCAAUAUUCUUCUGCUUUCUAGCUGGGUAGAAAUCAUCUUUUUUAUUUAUUUAUUCAUUGAAUUUAGGCAUAGCAGGGAGGCACUUGAAAAAUUGUUAAUGAUUAAAAUUACUUAUCAUAAAUUUGAGUCUGAGGGAUACCUUCUUUAAAAUUGGACACACUGGGCUGUACUGUAAGAAGAAACAUUUUAUUGAAGCAAUUUUAUUGCCAACACACUUUUUUCAAAGUAUCAUAUCCAAAUGCAGAUGGGUUUUUCAACCAAGAAGUGGCUGAUCUGAACAUUCUAGAAGACAGACAUUAACCAUUCACCAAACUGUGCCAACCAUCCUUGAAAAAAAGCACAUUUCAUAAAGAAGCCAUUAAAUGUAAUUAACUGUUUUCUGAACCCAGCUUUAAGACUUCCAAUUAAACAAUUUGUUGAAUUUGUUGCCAUAUCUAUGAACUUUAAAUCUAUUGCUCAGUGAUUUUCAAAGAAGUAAGUUCUUUAAAGGUUAACUGGAAAAAUGCCUGUGGAAACAGGGUGCACACACAGAUCAGAGGUGGAGUUAUCAGCAGGCAUACUUGUGAUAUUAAUCCCAAUUUACUUAAUAUCAGGUGACUCACCUGAAGUGUCUGAUCACAAGAGAUGAAUGGUAUUGUGAGAGAGUCCGUGGGCAUUUCUCCAACCUGCUCAUGAAGGACCUUUGUCCAUGUUGGAGGGAAGCAGAGGCAAAGUUCACAGUUUAUCCACAGGUGUUAGUUACAACUGGGGUCUAUUAUUCUUUGUCCAGGGUUUAUGGUUAAACCAGGUUUGUGCCUGAGUAAAAAAUAUACAAAUACAAGAUGCGCCACAUUCUCAUUUCCCAGGCUUGUCUUGCCAGCUUCUCAGCCAGAGGAGGUACCUAGGAGGAAGGAGAAGGGGAAGGCAGAACUAUGAUAUUGCUUAGGCGAUCUCAAACUGGGCUGUACUUUACCUGGGGAAAUUUUAAAAUACAGAUGCUUGGGGUUUCCAGAUAAUUCCAGUGUACACUGUGAGUGAAGAAAAUGGCUUUGGACACUCAUCAUCCAAAAGAUGAGUUAGUUUUCAACUUCUUAAAUGCAAUCUGGUAACCCUUGUUUAUUUAGAAACAAUGGUAGGGUCAGGUUUAAAGUUGUAGUUUCAAAGAAAUAAAUAUGCAGGAGAGGUGCCAGGUGUGAGUUAUUAACUUGUGAUCUAUGAAAUCAUUUGCCAGGUUUUGAGGAUAUGUGAAUUGGGACGGGGUGAGGAGGAAAAAAGGUUCAUCCCUUUCAAAGAUAAUGGAAGGAAGCCACAAGGAGCAAAUCUUUUAGGAAUCCACUGAAUGAACAUCAAUCUGUACAAAUUUAUGCCUACACUAAGGCACACACUCAGUUUUUAAGAAAGAACAUCUCUAAGUCAUGGAGGGGUAGCCCUGAGUGUUUCCUCAAACCUGUAUCUUUUCCUGUGCCUGCACCUUGUACUUCCUCUAGUCAACAGUUCCUGGUUCCCGGGGGACUAGAGCAGCUCCCACCUACCAUUCUGACUUAAAGAGAGUCACCUUUCCUUGUGCACCUUAGCACAGGGGAAUGUGUUUGAUCUUCUCUAAAGCAUAAAUUAGGAAGUAAAACUAAUACAAUCGCAAACAAUGAAGGAAACAAUGACAAAACAGGUCAUAGGAGUUAAGGGUGACAUGCAGUGUCUUCAUCCAGUGCUCAUACUCUGAGUUUCUCUUUCACUUCCCAGAUAGCUUGUCUGCUUUCCUCUCUUCCAGCCCUCCAUCUUCUCUGGCUAAGAUGGUCUUAGUUUUGGUGACCUGGGGAUUUUCUCAUGAAUCCAAAGACUCUGGCUGACUCUUAAGAAACGCUUACUAUUAUUUCUUCAUACCUUCAGCACCAAUUUUUAAUCCCUUAAAAGGGAUUGAAACCAUGAUUGGUGAAUAGGUCUGGACUCUGAUGUUAAAUGCCACCAAUAGAUAAGAGCCUCCUCAUAAAAUUUCUUAAAUUGAAAUGUGCAAAUGAGCUUCUUGUUCAAAUGCACAAUGAUAUCCUCUGAGAAGCACCAUGACCAGUGGGGUCCUAGAGCAUUCUGUUGAGAAUGACUAAUGCUGGCAGUCAAAAACAGUGCCGGGAUCCUUCAGGUAUAUCUGCCAUAUGGGGCAGGGAAGGGGCUGUACAGUUCUGAUGUCAUGUAUUUGACAAAUCGGAUGAUGUUUUCUUUUUUAGUUUAUCAGAGCCAUUGCCUUCUGGAGCAUUUGGUAGCUAUGGCCAGAUGUACCAUUGUGGUGGGUUAUUUUCCAUUUUCUUUGUCAAUUUUAUUUAUUCCUUCAGCUCAGAGAGGGAGACGGUCUUAUCCCUACAAAUAAGGAAUGGUUCCCAUCACACACUGCCUUCAACCCACUGUAGAACCAGUCAUAUCAGCACAGUGCAAGCUCACUCCCUUCUGCUGACAGAUUGGGUUUGGAGAGUUAACAAUUUGCAAGCCAGAUCUCUGUUCUGUUUGAUGGGAAUCAGUCUUUGGUCCUUCUUGCUAUUUUGUUUCCUGCCCCAGUCCAGGCUCAGCUCUAGUGCACCACUGAAACUGGAACCCAGUCCUGCAAUAGAGGCAAGUUCUCACUUCUCUUCUUCUGAGUUCAGACUCUACUUCUGAUACUCCUGGUCCAACAUAGGUGGAUUUGUGAAGGCUGAUGCUGACAGCAUCCAGUGCUGACCUUUGUUCUGAGCCAUAUUAUGUUUCCCCACCUUCUCACUGCUGCCUUUGGACAUUGAUGCCAGUCCCACAUGGGCCAACAUUAGCCCCUUGCUGUGACUUGAUGAGUUAGGUGUCCCUGAGUCUUGUAGUUCAUCCCUAGAAGGUGCUGGCAUGUUAAAUAAUUCCUAGGUGUGGUGAUGUUAAUAUUAGUAAUUGUAAUAAUAAAAGCAGUAACAGUGACCAUUUAUUGAACAAAUUUGAUGUUCUAAGCUCUACACUAAGUGAAUUACAUAUAUUGUUAAAUUUAAUUCUCAGAAGAACCCUAUGGAGUAAUUUCCAUUUUGGGCACAAUUUUAUUAGUGAGAAAACUGAGGCCCCAGAAGAAUUAAGACACUUGUCUAACAUCUCUCAGUAAUAAAUGGAUCUUAGAUUGGAACUCAGUUUUUGGAUUAAAGGUCUGCGCCCAUAACCACAUGGUGCACUGUCUCUACUGCCAGGUGCCCGAGUCUGUCCCUGAUUGACAGCUGCUAGAACUCUAAAGAAAGGAAAUACUAAUGAUCUUCUUUUAGAAACUGCUGAAAUGUCAGCUAGUUAAAUAUCUUUGGGAGGCAUCUGAUCAUGUUGCAUUUGUAUGUACUCUCAGUUCUUCAUAAUCAAAGCUCUCGAAAGUUCAUGGGCACUCUUUCUGCAUAGAGAUGACUGCUCACAGUUUAAAUACCUGGGAAGGGAGCUGAUACCUUCUGUCAUCCCCAAUUGAUGUUGUGUAUUAGUGAGGAAACAUGACCAGCAGAAAGUGAAAUUCAUUAAGUAUUUCAUGCCUGCAGUGAUUAUAAAACUCAACUGCAAUAAAUGAGCCAAUAGAACAGUGGUAUGAAGCUGCCAUAUGUCAGUGGAAAGCAGAAAGCAGGAGAUGGUUGCUUUCCAAGCUUAAAUAUGAAUACUUGGUCCAAUCGCCCAAAUCUUUGGCCUCUCUUGGCAUAUGAUAGCCCUGGCAUACAGCAGCGCUGCCACAUGGAAAUGCUGCUAGACAGUUCAGCCUUUGCAGAAAAUAACAUUUUGGGCUAUUGCAUUAAUUGCUAUUGCUUUGCAUUUAUAUUACUUUUUGUACUCAGGAAAGUUUAAGUAAUUUUAAAAGGUAAUUUUAAAAAUUCCAGUGAUGUUCUGAGGGAUCUCUGAGUGCUUUGUCUGUGGUAUCUUCUGAUUCAUAGUUCUUAGAAAAGGGGUAUCAGUGCUUAUUAGGAACAUGCCCUAAGGUAACAAUGCAGUCACAUGCUCAGGUCUCAUGGUACUAAAGCAUAGGUUACCACGAUUGUGGUAGGGAAUGCAGGCUUCUUUAAUAAUAUGCAACAGAAAUGAGUCUAGCUAACUCAAUUAGAAAAGAAAUGCAUUCAUUGGAAAGCAUGUGGUAGUUUAAAAAAGGAAAAGAAAAGCUGACUUACCAGACAGAACAGGAGUGGGGAAACUCCAGAAAUCUUGGCAUCAAGAACAAAUGUUCCACAUUUUCCCACUGGUCAUUAUCAGACUGAAAUCAUUAAUGUUCCCCCCUUAUGUAUCUUUCAGGGUAUACUCCCAGUGACCCACUUCCUCCAGCCAUAAGACAACACCUGACUAUAGUUUCUCUCCAGUCCAUUCAAACUAGGAUAGACUGAAUAAAUUACAGCUCUCUUAAUCAAGUUGUUUCACCUUUGAACAUUCCUGCAUCAAUACAGUAGCUUUUGGGGGACACCUAAUAUCCAAACCAUAACAGUGGCUUAAAACAAAAAUCAACAUUUCUAUUUCCCAUUUUCUGAAGAUCAGGAAUCUCAUUGUGGCUUAGCUAGGACCUUCUGGCUUGGGGGUCUCUCAUAAGGUUUCAGGCAAGGCAUUGGUCUUUGCUGUAAUCAUCUGAGGUAGAAGGAUGCACUUUCAAGGUGACAGUCUCACCUGAUUGUUGGGUUGGUAGUUGACUGGAGGCCUCAGUUAUUCCUCAUGAAGGCCUCUCUCCACAGGCUGCUUAAGUAUCUUGCCAACAGGAUGGCUGACUCAUGCCUAGUAAGCCACCUAAGAAAGAAAAUCAAAAGUGGCAAUGCCUCAGAAGACUCAUACCUUCACUGUGCCAUAUUCUCUAUUAGAAAUGAGUCACACAUUUGUCCUGCAUUUAAAAGAAAUGGAAUUAGCUCUAUUUUUUGAAAGGAAGAAUGUGAAAGAAUUUUCAGAUUCAUUUUAAAACUACCACAAAGUGCCAGCCUGUAAUCAGUCUUCCACCUGACUAUUAAUUAAUGAAAAAGAAUGGUUACCACUAAAGGAAGGUUAGCACUGGUUUCUCCUAAGUGAUGACAACUGAGCUGGGGUUUAAAAGCUCCAUAGGAGGUUCUGUAGUACUCAAUGGCAUUUCAUUUGAAGGGCUUUAAAUAUGGAAAGCCUUGAAAGUGUGAACCAGCAUGGCAUAUUGCAGAAAUUGUAAGUGCUUAGUUUGGAAUUCCUAGAAUCUGAGAUAUAAGGAAACACUGGUGGAAAACCAGACUGAGGAAAAGGGCCAACCAUCAAAAGCUUAAAACUUAACACGUAGUGUGAUCACCCAUCUUAGUUUUUCAGGACAGUCCUUGUUAAUGCAUGCUAUCUUGGUUUAAUUAUUAAUAGAGUCCUCUUCCACAGUCACAAAGUCCUGGUUUGGACAAUAAAUUGUAUAGUCAAUUUAAUUCUGUACCACCACUACCACAUCACCACCAACACCACCACAACAACAAAAAAGAAAAGAAAAAAGAAAGAAAGAAAGAAAGAAAGAAAGAAAGAAAGAAAGAAAAAAGCAGUGUCCAUAGUUUAGUCAAUGACUGAAUUUUUCACUCUAUAAUAAAACAAUGAAAAAUGUACCUAUUUUGUAUAGAGAAUACAUUGGAGAAAAAAAUCAGAAUCAUGGAAAUUAAUUUCAGUAGGUGAUGGUGGUACAAGACUUUUAAAAAGCCUUCUUAAUGUGUUUUCCAGAAGAUUAUGUUUUAAUUUUCUUUGGCUUCUUGUUAGAAAUGCAAAUAAUUUUUUAAAUGAAUGGGAAAUUUUCUUUUACUACACAAACUAAGAAGUUUAAUAGCAUUGGUUUUAUUUGAAAAAAGUUACAUGAAUUAACUGAUAAGAGAGACUAGUCAUAGGAGAAAUUUCAUUACACUUCUUUUUCUAGAAAAUAUUUAAUUAUAAAAGUUUGGCUCCUAGUAAUGACUCAAACUAUACAGAAAAGUUUACAAUCAAAUUUGUUGUUCAAUCCCUUUUGAUUUUAAUAAACUCCUCUAAGUUAAGUAAUGGUCUUUCUAUCUAUCAACUUAUUAAGAUAUUUGUCUUUGUUCAUUUUGUGCUACUUUAACAGAAUGCCUGAGUCUGGGUAAUUUAUAAUGAAGAAAAAUUUAUUGACUGACAGUUCUGGAGGAUGUAGAGUCCAGGAUCAAGGCACUGGCAUCUGCACUGGUGAGGGCCUUCUAGAUAUGUCUUCAUAUGGCAGAAAGCAGAAGAGAAAGGAGCAAGAAUGAACCCAUAUAUGGGAACCCUUUUUAUAAUGACAUUAAUCUAUUCAUGAAGAUUCCGAUCCAAACACUUCCCAGCAUUAUGUUCUACCUACCAACAUUGUUGCAUUGUGCUUAAGUUUACAACACAUUAUUUCUGGGGCAUAUAUUCAAGCCAUAACAGAUAUUAUCAUUUAUUUUAUUUAUAUAUUCUAUAGUACAUUUAUAACUUUAUUAAGUUUAGACAUUUAAAUAUAGGUUGAUUUUUAAAAUAAAAUGUGAAGGCAUAAAUUUAAUUUUCAUGUUUAGUUCAAUUAUUAUUUUGAAAUGCCUAACUUUGUUUCCCAAAAAACAUGCUUUGUUUUGGAAUUUUAUUUCUGUACCAUUAAUAUGACCACACAUUUCUUUAUUUGUGCAAAUUUUUAAAUUAGUAUAUAUUUAUGUUGAUUUUAACAUUUGAUGAAGUAAGUUUCUGUUAUUGUCUUGCCAAAAAUUCCUUGUUUUCAUGCAUUUCCCCCCUCCUUUCAAAGAUUUUUAAAAUUAGGUCCUCAAUUUCCAGUUUUAAAAUUCCUGUUGCGCACAGGUGAUUUUUAGGGCACUGAAGUGAAACUGUUCUGUGAUACUUCAAGGGUAAAUAUACAACAGUUUGCACUUGUGAAGACAAAACCAAAACAAAACUGUACAAUAUGAAGAAAAAACCCUAAGAUAAACUGGGGACUUCAGUUAACAGUGUUCUAUUAAUUUUAUUACAUCAAUUGUAAUGUACCACGCCAAUGCAAGGUGUUAAUCACAAGAGAAAUGGAGUGUGAAAGGAGGGGUAUAUAUUGAGAAUUCUACUGCUUCAUUUUUCUGUAAAUCUAAAACUUAUGUCAGAACAGUAUUUCAUGCUACACUGAUUAAAUUUUGGAGAACUGGCUGAACCUUUAAAAUAUAAAAUUUUUGUAUCUUGGAACAAGGAUAUCUUCCUAUUAAUUCAGGUCUUCAUUGAUGGUCCUACAUUAGUGUUUUAUUGUUUUCUCCAGGUAUGCCUUCCACAUUUUUGAUUUAUUUAUUCCUAGGUAUUUUAUGACUUUCUUGCUAUGGUGAAUAGCAUUCUUUUAAUUUCUAGUAUAUUUUCUCAUUGACUAUCACCGUUAUUUUAUGAAAGUUGUAUUUUCAGUGCAAUUUAAAGUUGUUGUUACUACAUAUUAUGUUAAUUAUUCCAUUAAUCAUUAAAUCUAUAUUCUUAAAAAGUCAAAAUAUUUUAAUAGUUACAACGAAUUUUUCUUCUGUUAAUUUUUCUAGUUUGGUAUUAAACCCAAAUUAUGUAGGUACACGUAUUAAAGAUGAAAAUGGUUUUUAUACUGUCUGCAAAGGACUUUUUGUUACAAGAGAAUUUACAUUAUUUUCCAUCAACAGGUUUACUCAUUACUUAUUCAGUUUUAGUUUCAGUUAUUUAAAAAGGAUAUGUUGAGGUUGGGGCUGUGGCUCAGUGGUAAAGCACUUGCCUGGCAAGUGUGAGGCAUAGGGUUCUAUCCUCAGCACUACAUUAAAAAAUAAAUAAAAUAAAGGUAUUGUGUCCAUCUUCAACAACAACAACAACAACAAAAUAUUAAAAACUUUGAAAUAAAUAAAAAGGAUAUAGUUGUAAAGUUUGGCUCCUUCACAGUCCUGGCAUUGCAACCCCAAAAGCACCACAUGGGCAACAAUGCUUUUGAAUAUAUCACAGGAAUUUUAGCACAUUAACUGAAAAUAAAUUUUCUCUAUUUUUUUUACAUUCAAAUAAAUUAAGUUCAGAUAAUAUUUUCCAUCUUUAAAUAAAAUAUUUUAAUUUCCCUUUUUGC